UUCAAGAGUUUAGAAGUAUGACAGCAAGUCUAUAUGCUAGCAAAUAUUGGAUACUUCAUGCCAUGUUUCAUACUACGAAGGGUUCAUAUAAUAUUUUCAUAUAACAUUCUGCUAUCUCAAUAUCAUGUUCACAGAACUGUCCUUAUCUCUGAUCUUUUUGUGCCUUUGUACUGAAGUUUCAUGUUACCAAACCACUGCAAGUCUAUACCCAAUUUAGUUAUGGACCCAAGUCAAAGCAGCCACAUAUUGAGCCUCUAAAUUAGUCAAAUAAUUCAGUUAUUUUUUUAAAUAUCUUUUAGUUAAAUUGUUCCCUGUUUGUAGGAGGGUAUUCCUCCACUUUCUAUUUCAUGUUGUUAGUUGAGGAGGGUAUUUCUCCAUGUUGAAGUAGUGCUCCUUUGAUGUAGGAAGCACUUUCUAUUUCAUGUUGUUAGUUGAGGAGAGUGUUCCUCCAUGUUGAAGUAGUGCUCCUUUAAUGUAGGAAGCAGUUAUACUUCCUUUCUGUAUUUAAGCAAUAACAUUAAUGAAGAGUACAAGCUUCCAAAAUCAAUUAAGUCUUGAGCGCUUUAAGUCUCAGAGGUUCUAGGCUCCCUCUUUUAGAGCCUGAAUUGUUAAUGACUAGAAGUCGUAAAAAGACUCUUAACCCAAACACUCAAACUCCUGCCAUACCCUUAACCCACCGACCCAUAACUAGAUCCACAAUCCGGGACCAUAACAGUUUGGUAUCAGAGCCAGGAGUUAUGGGGGACUCUGUUCAAUAUCAACUCGCCAAGCUCUUUGAAUUGUUGUUGGCUGAGCAGCAAGCAAACAAAGACCGAAAUGAGAAAGUUGAGCAAUUGCACGCCAAAUUGAAUGCAAUGUCUUAAGAAUUGGAAUUGACUAAGAAAGGGUUGCAAUCUAGCAGCACUGGCAGUCAAGCAAAAUCAAGGUGAGAUAAGGGAAUUUCGGGUGCUUCGGUUUUUGAAAGUUCGGGAGGAAGUUCGGUAGUACCGAAAUUCACAAAGCUUGAUUUUCCACGUUAUGAUGGGCUGGAAGACCCUUUGGGGUGGCUUGCCCGAUGCCAGCAUUUUUUUAGGCACCAACAAACACCCGAAGAGGAGAAGGUGAGUUUAGCUUCGUACCAUUUGGAGGGAAUUGCUCAGCUAUGGUAUAUGCAGCUGCUGGAUGACAUUCCAGAUCCCAAUUGGGAUGAGUUUACACAUCAGUGUAAUCUUCGUUUUGGACCUCCAAUCCGCAACAACAAAUUAAGCGAAUUGGCGAAGCUAAAGCAAACUGGUUCUGUUGCAGAAUAUCAGAACCGUUUCGAAGCCUUGGUGUCACGCGCUGGCACCCUCACGCAGGAUCAAAAGGUCCAGUUGUACCUCAGUGGAUUGCAGGACUCCAUUGCUGUUGAAGUCGAGCUGCAUCAUCCAAAAGAUUUGGUGAAUGCAAUGAGCAUCUCCCGGCUGUAUGAACGGAAACUUUUCCUAAGUUCUCCGGCUGUGAGAGACACUCGUUGCUAUGCCUUCACAUCUGCACCUUGUGCCAACAAAUUGGUGAAGCGACUGAACCGUGAGGAGAUGGAAGAAAGACGGAAAAAAGGACUGUGUUUUAACUGUGAUGAACAGUUUGUUCGCGGCCACCAAUGUAAAAAGCUUUUCUGGAUAGACUUGGAGAUCGAAAAAAUAAAGGACAAAUUCUGAUCCGGAGCUAGAACAACUAGAGUUUUCAUUGAACGCCAUCACUGGAAUUCGAAAUCCUCAAUCCAUGCGACUACAGGAAUAUUGGAAUGGGGGACAAGUCUUUAUUCUAAUUGAUUAUGGCAGCACUCACAGUUUUGUGUCUGCAACAAAAGUCGAGGAACUUGGUGCUGAAGUAAACGGGCAGGAUGGCUUGAAAGUUAAUGUCGCCCACGGUGAGCAGCUGGACAGCCCAGGUAUAUGCAAGGGAAUCCCAAUUCUACUGGAUUCCCACUCUUUUUCCGUGAACUUAUUUGUUCUGCCACUAACCGAUUUUGAUGUGGUUUUGGGAGUUAACUGGCUUCGAACUUUGGGACCCAUUCUGUGGGAUUUUGCUGUCAUGAGAAUGUAUUUCUUUAAACAGGGAAUCUUGAUCGAAUUGCAAGGCAUAAUCCGUCCAAGCCGAUCACCAUUUUCUUCUCCGGUGAUCCUAGUACCAAAGGCAAACGGUUCUUGGCGUUUAUGUGUCGAUUACAGAGAAUUAAACGCCAAAACCAUUAAAGACAAAUUUCCAAUUCUUGUGAUAGAUGAGUUAUUAGAAGAACUAGGUGGUGUUAGAUACUUCACAAAAUUGGAUUUGCAUUCUGGUUAUUUUCAAGUGGGUAUGCGUCCUUUUGAUGUUGAGAAAACAGCUUUUCGGACGCAUUACAGCCACUUUGAAUUCCUGUCUUGGGCCAUUCUAGACCACCGUAUUAAAGGAGGAAGUCAGGAGGUUCUCAUCCACUGGAGUCAUUUUUCUCCUACCGAUGCUUCAUGGGAGAAGGUGCAGGCAUUCUCCGCCAAAUAUUCAGAUUUUCAGCUUGAGGACAAGCUUCCUUUGGGGGCGGGAAGUAAUGUUACCAAACCACUGCAAGUCUAUACCCAAUUCAGUCAUGGACCCAAGUCAAAGCAGCCACAUAUUGAGCCUCUAAAUUAGUCAAAUAAUUCAGUUAUUUUUUUAAAUAUCUUUUAGUUAAAUUGUUCCCUGUUUGUAGGAGGGUAUUCCUCCACUUUCUAUUUCAUGUUGUUAGUUGAGGAGGGUGUUUCUCCAUGUUGAAGUAGUGCUCCUUUGAUGUAGGAAGCACUUUCUAUUUCAUGUUAGUUGAGGAGAGUGUUCCUCCAUGUUGAAGUAGUGCUCCUUUAAUGUAGGAAGCAAUUAUACUUCAUUUCUGUAUUUAAGCAAUAACAUUAAUGAAGAGUAUAAGCUUCCAAAAUCAAUUAAGUCUUGAGCGCUUUAAGUCUCAGAGGUUCUAGGCUCCUUCUUUUAGAGCCUGAAUUGUUAAUGACUAGAAGUCGUAAAAAGACUCUUAACCCAAACACUCAAACUCCUGCCAUACCCUUAACCCAUCGACUCAUAACUAGAUCCACAACCCGGGACCAUAACAUUUCAAUUCUUGGAUUUAGCAGUUUAUAGUUGUUCUCUAUAUCCUAAUACAUGUUGGCCAACAUAUGUAUUGUCAUUCCUAUGUAUUGCUAUAAGCAACCUUAUAUCCCUUAUCACAUUCUUGUCAUGUACAAUUUCUUUGCCAAUGAUCUCAUCACCUUAAUCCUAUCUACAAUGCUUAAGUUUGAGUGGCUUGUCACAUAGUGUUUUACCCUAUGUGAUCACACUUUUCCCAAGUUAGUAGCAGUAGAAAUGAAUAGACCAAGCUUUUAAUCUUUCGGUUUAUUAUCAUUAUAUUGUCAAAUUAUUGACAGUUGCUUCACCUAAGCGGCUAAGCCAGUCUGAGGCUCCCACGAGUGAGGGCUUUUCUUAUAGGUAGUAACCAAUUUCUGAAUAAUAUGCCCAUUGCGUUCAAGGCGUGGGCAUGCGUUCAUUAUUAACUGUUUAUUUUCAAUAAGGUGUGGCCAUGCUGGUUGAAGAUGUUGUCAUUUAAUGCAAAGUUCCUAAAGGCCAGGACUGCAUAUCUCCUUAAUAUCUGUCCCAGGAUCCUGCUUCAACUAGAACACUUGUGUCCCGGGCUUUUAUUUUAGCAUUCAAAUCAGAAUUAGAUGUGAAGCAUAUAGCAUGAUAAUUACGUCUAACCUCUUGUUCCGUGAUAACCAAAAUAAAAAAAUAAAAGAGAUAAAUGGUAAAAAAAACCCUAAACUAUUUACAUUUUAACUAAUAUGCCCCAAACUAUAAAAGUUAACUAAUAUAUUCUAAACUGAUUAUCUAAAUUUAUUUAUAGUUAACAGUUAAAUUUAACCGUUAGAUUUAACAAUACCACACUAUUAUCCUAGUCAAC
rnacentral:lncRNA from 1 species